rnacentral:rRNA from 1 species
UGAGGAAUAUUGGUCAAUGGGCGAGAGCCUGAACCAGCCAAGUAGCGUGAAGGAUGACUGCCCUAUGGGUUGUAAACUUCUUUUAUAAAGGAAUAAAGUCGGGUAUGGAUACCCGUUUGCAUGUACUUUAUGAAUAAGGAUCGGCUAACUCCGUGCCAGCAGCCGCGGUAAUACGGAGGAUCCGAGCGUUAUCCGGAUUUAUUGGGUUUAAAGGGAGCGUAGAUGGAUGUUUAAGUCAGUUGUGAAAGUUUGCGGCUCAACCGUAAAAUUGCAGUUGAUACUGGAUAUCUUGAGUGCAGUUGAGGCAGGCGGAAUUCGUGGUGUAGCGGUGAAAUGCUUAGAUAUCACGAAGAACUCCGAUUGCGAAGGCAGCCUGCUAAGCUGCAACUGACAUUGAGGCUCGAAAGUGUGGGUAUCAAACAGGAUUAGAUACCCUGGUAGUCCACACGGUAAACGAUGAAUACUCGCUGUUUGUGAUAUACUGCAAGCGGCCAAGCGAAAGCGUUAAGUAUUCCACCUGGGGAGUACGCCGGCAACGGUGAAACUCAAAGGAAUUGACGGGGGCCCGCACAAGCGGAGGAACAUGUGGUUUAAUUCGAUGAUACGCGAGGAACCUUACCCGGGCUUAAAUUGCAGAUGAAUUACGGUGAAAGCCGUAAGCCGCAAGGCAUCUGUGAAGGUGCUGCAUGGUUGUCGUCAGCUCGUGCCGUGAGGUGUCGGCUUAAGUGCCGUAACGAGCGCAACCCUUGUUGUCAGUUACUAACAGGUUUUGCUGAGGACUCUGACAAGACUGCCAUCGUAAGAUGUGAGGAAGGUGGGGAUGACGUCAAAUCAGCACGGCCCUUACGUCCGGGGCUACACACGUGUUACAAUGGGGGGUACAGAGGGCCGCUACCACGCGAGUGGAUGCCAAUCCCCAAAACCUCUCUCAGUUCGGACUGGAGUCUGCAACCCGACUCCACGAAGCUGGAUUCGCUAGUAAUCGCGCAUCAGCCACGGCGCGGUGAAUACGUUCCC